UCUUUGCUAGUAUAUCGGUUAGUACACGCGCCUGUCAUCUAUGUACUAGACUACGGAUACGCGCGAAAGCUGGGUUCGACUCCCAGGCAGAGAG